rnacentral:rRNA from 1 species
AUUGAACGCUGGCGGCAUGCCUUACACAUGCAAGUCGAACGGCAGCACGGGUGCUUGCACCUGGUGGCGAGUGGCGAACGGGUGAGUAAUACAUCGGAACAUGUCCUGUAGUGGGGGAUAGCCCGGCGAAAGCCGGAUUAAUACCGCAUACGAUCUACGGAUGAAAGCGGGGGACCUUCGGGCCUCGCGCUUUAGGGUUGGCCGAUGGCUGAUUAGCUAGUUGGUGGGGUAAAGGCCUACCAAGGCGACGAUCAGUAGCUGGUCUGAGAGGACGACCAGCCACACUGGGACUGAGACACGGCCCAGACUCCUACGGGAGGCAGCAGUGGGGAAUUUUGGACAAAGGGCGAAAGCCUGAUCCAGCAAUGCCGCGUGUGUGAAGAAGGCCUUCGGGUUGUAAAGCACUUUUGUCCGGAAAGAAAUCCUUGGCUCUAAUACAGUCGGGGGAUGACGGUACCGGAAGAAUAAGCACCGGCUAACUACGUG